rnacentral:rRNA from 1 species
ACAUCGAAAGCUUGCUUUUGAUGGGCGUCGACCGGCGCACGGGUGAGUAACGCGUAUCCAACCUGCCCAUCACUUGGGGAUAACCUUGCGAAAGUAAGACUAAUACCCAAUGACGUCUCUAGAAGACAUCUGAAAGAGAUUAAAGAUUUAUCGGUGAUGGAUGGGGAUGCGUCUGAUUAGCUUGUUGGCGGGGUAACGGCCCACCAAGGCUACGAUCAGUAGGGGUUCUGAGAGGAAGGUCCCCACAUUGGGACUGAGAUACGGCCCAGACUCC